AACUGGGUUCGGAAUCACGACAGAUUUCUGAAUCGCGAAGUUUCUAAUAUUUGAUUUUCCAUUCUUCCGUGGGUUUUCUCCCCAUUCACGACAUAGAAAGGUCUAGCCGUGAUAGGAGCUAUAUAACGAUCUACUUCCCAAAGUUCGGGGGGAUAGGAAUUUAGGAAUACCCAAGGAAAAGGGAUACAACAUGACAAAAAUGGACGUGACCACAGUUGUUACCUCGAUCCUGGAGGCUUUUGGGAAUGGGCGGGAUUUCUUCAAUCGCAUACACAAAAAGAAGGAUCUUAAAAGAUCUGGAACCGAUAAAUCCAAGCGGGAUCUAAAAACCCACGGCUCGCGAAAGAAAAAGCGAAGAAAUACAAAUGAUGCGGCAGUUCCGGUUCGCAGCGAAGAUAUGGAUGACUUGCGAAUUCAGGCAUCACUGGAACGGGGUCCCGCUGAAAUCAAGAAGGAAUAUGAUACCAGCGUCCAGCGCUUAGGGGAACGCUUCAAAAAGGGAGACGAACUUGCUCAAGGAUCCCUUGCCCAUACAUUAUUAAUAUUGAAUGCCGGCUUGAUGAAACUAAUAGCAUCUUGUUUGUCCAGUGAUGGGCAGGGAUACAACUGUGCUGGAACUGUUGAUCGACGGUCUCUACUCAUACUCUCCGAUUCUGCGGCGGCAGAUGCAAUAACCGCUCUUGAUGAACUCCGACAGCGCCUGAUAAACGCGUCCACCCCAGCGCCUAAAUCAGCAAUAAUACCCGCAGGGCAGAAAGGGAGACAACGCAGCAGAUCGUUGUCACGACAGAGGCCAAAGACGGAAUCAGGAAAGAAUAGUAAAGCCGAAGACAGAAAUCAAGCCCCAAGCGCCACGACAACAAUGGGACAGCGCAAAAAGAACACGGCAGGGCCAUCACCGAAACCAGCGUCGAAUAUGGCAACCAGCGGCCGAGAGUUCACGGGAAUGUGGAUUCGGUCGAGAAAAGGGUCCUCCAUAUCGCUGGCAACAACGGCAGUGACAAGCCAGCAUCCAGCACAGCAAGCCCCGAAGAAGUUGCCAAAUAUGCUAAAGCAAUGCGACAUGGAGCAUAACCAGGGUCACCCGGCUUUUGCCCAUCUCCAGCAAUACGGGAGAUCGCCAAACAACGAAGCAGACUUCCAACACAGCGGGCGGGAACACCGAGGGCAGCAACUUUCGUCCAUUCGCAGAGAGGCACUAAACAAUGAUAGGACGCCAGUAGCAGCACCUUCAAUUACAAGAGUUCUUCGAAAGGACUUGCCGCCCCUUUCCCCGCUUGUGCCCCUAUCACAAAAUCUCCAACCGCCACGUGGGAGAACUGGAGCUGGAGGAGGUCCGGGAGCCGCUUCCUCGAUAUCUGUGUCAUCUAGUAGCACAAAGCUGGGUGAGAUUCCGAGCCGGGGCCGGUUUACACAGGCCUCAUCUCUGAAUCCCCUUCCACCUCCACCACCACAGAUUUCCCGGCCGACAGGACCGGUUCUGGAAGUCGGCUAUCAACGGCCGAGAGUUGCGUUCAAUGCUGGGUUGGAGUACUGGAGAAAUUUGGCUGCAGGGGCGAACGAUGGAAAAAAGUCCAUGUUCGAAGAGGGU
rnacentral:sRNA from 1 species